GGAUCAGGUGGAUUGAAUCCGUUCAUUGGCAGGGGCGGGGGAACCAUCACUGGUUGCCGGAAGGCAAUCUUGGGGUGAAGUCCGCAUGGGGAGUGCAAGUUCCGCAGGGCCUUUCGGGGGAUAGCUCUGUGCCGCGUGUAUUGCCCUGUGGGCCAGGUCUUUGAACUCUCUGACCUGAAUCCGACAGCUAACCUCGCAGGCUUCCAGAGAGGAAAC
rnacentral:sRNA from 2 species